rnacentral:rRNA from 1 species
AGAAUCAACGCUGGCGGCGUGCCUCAGACAUGCAAGUCGAACGAUUAAAGCUCUCUUCGGAGAGUGUAUAGAGUGGCGCACGGGUGAGUAACACGUAAGUAAUCUACCCUCGAGUGGGGAAUAACGUCCGGAAACGGACGCUAAUACCGCAUAAUGCAGCGGCACCGCAAGGUGACAGUUGUUAAAGAUUUAUCGCUUGAGGAGGAGCUUGCGGCAGAUUAGCUAGUUGGUAAGGUAAUGGCUUACCAAGGCUACGAUCUGUAACCGGUCUUAGAGGACGGUCGGUCACACUGACACUGGAAUAACGGGUCAGACUACCUACGGGAGGCAGCAGUACGGG